rnacentral:rRNA from 1 species
UGGGGGAAUAUUGGGCAAUGGGCGAAAGCCUGACCCAGCGACGCCGCGUGAAGGAAGAAGGUCUUCGGAUUGUAAACUUCUGUCAGCAGGGACGAAGCAAGUGACGGUACCUGCCGAGAAAGCCACGGCUAACUACGUGCCAGCAGCCGCGGUAAUACGUAGGUGGCGAGCGUUAUCCGGAUUUACUGGGUGUAAAGGGUGUGUAGGCGGGUUGGCAAGUCAGAUGUGAAAAAUUAUGGGCUCAACUCAUAACUUGCAUUUGAAACUGUCGGUCUUGAGAGUGGGGAGAGGUAGAUAGAAUUCCUGGUGUAGCGGUGAAAUGCGUAGAUAUCAGGAG